rnacentral:rRNA from 1 species
AUGUCAUUCGCGGCCGUUCUCGCGCGGGUUAUAAAUUCAACCAAUGAUUCAGGAGAAAGAUUGCAUCCUGUCAUCCUUUCCAAGAUCUGUACCUCAGCAGUGAAGGAAUCUUUGGCAAAUACAUAUGGUGACAGGUUUGACAGUUUCAUGAGAAAUUUUGAGAAUUCAUUUAGCAGCACAUUGAGGACGCUUCAUCGUAUUAAUGAGAUACCUGUCUAUGAGAGAAGUCCUACUCCUGAAUACUCUUCUACGCAUGGAGGCUCUGGGGCUGUAGAAAACUCGAGCGCUGCUGAUCUGCAAAAUCAUACAAAAGAAAUCGAGCAGGACCUCAUGAACUCUGUAGAAAGUCAAGUUGUUCUUUAUGCCAGAGACAAUCGACAGCUGGCUGAUCGUCCUCAUAGCAGAUCCUCUCGUGAGGCUGAUCGGUGCAUUCUCAGUGCUUUUGAGAGAUCUGUGAAGGAGCAGGCUCGCUCGAACGAGCUCAAGGAAUGUGAGAUUAGUCUUAGCAUGAGAAAGCUGCAGCUGAAACAGUCUGAAUUAGCUCUUAGCUCCUCCUCGCACAUGUUAGAGAAGAUUAAGUUGUCGUUGGGUUUUCAGAAAGCUUCCUUCCAAGGGGAGAAAUUCAAGACUCAGAUGCAGGACUCAAGGCACGCAGAAAUCCUGAGGACUCUUAUAGAUUUCCUUGUUAGUGCAGUGGUAAUUAUGUCAGUGUGUUUUGCUUAUGGAACUUAUGUUCACUCGUACCAACGGAUAACUGAUGUUACAGCAGCUUGUUCAGCUGCUUCAAGGGGAUCUAAAUCUUGGUGGGUGCCAAAUUCAGUGUCAAACUUCAAUUCUGGCUUGCAGUUCGUCAGAUGUCAUGUGAUAGCAGCAACACGUAUGUGCUUUGGCAUAGUAAUGAUUGUGGCAAUUGCUUGGUUAGCAUCCCAGCGUUCUGCACUGACUGGAUCAAAUAUGCCUAUAACUUUCAAUUUCAUUUUGUUGGGAGUAAUUUGCGGCUUUGCUGGAAGGUUUUGUGCCAACACUCUAGGCGGUGAUGGAAAUAUCUGGCUUGUAUGGUGGGAAGUCCUUUGUUCCAGCCAUUUACUCGGAAACUGUUAUCCAUCUGUUAUGUACCAUGUUCUUCAUGGUCCCAUAUCAAUAACUCACAGCAAGAAUGGUGUGGGGUUGCCGUACUGGGUUCGCCGGUGCAUAUUUUAUGCUGCGCUGGGGCUUGUUAUCCCGGUCUUGACUGGCUUACUUCCAUUUGCUUCUCUCUCUGACUGGAGGGACCAUUUUUCUGAAGAGAUAAAAUCCUUCUUUGUUGGUGACGAAGAAAUAAACCUUUUGGACUUCUGGAGGAGUAAGAUAUGUUGA